rnacentral:rRNA from 1 species
UGCGUAGGUGGCGCCAUAAGUCGGGUGUGAAAUUUCGGAGCUUAACUCCGAAACUGCAUUCGAUACUGUGGUGCUUGAGGACUGGAGAGGAGACUGGAAUUUACGGUGUAGCAGUGAAAUGCGUAGAGAUCGUAAGGAAGACCAGUGGCGAAGGCGGGUCUCUGGACAGUUCCUGACACUGAGGCACGAAGGCCAGGGAGGCAAACG